UCCCUGGUGGUUUAGUGCUUAGGAUUCAGCACUUUCACCACUGCAGCCUGGGUUCAAUCCCUGGCCUGGGAA
rnacentral:tRNA from 1 species